GACGAACCGUGCGAACGUUGUUCGGAUUCACUGGGCUUAAAGGGCGCGUAGGCGGGUGUCCAAGUCUGGGGUGAAAUCCUUCGGCCCAACCGGAGAACAGCCUCGGAUACUGGAUGGCUCGAGGCUGGUAGGGGGAAGCGGAAUUCCCGGUGUAGUGGUGGAAUGCGUAGAUAUCGGGAGGAACACCAGUGGCGAAGGCGGCUUCCUGGACCUGAUCUGACGCUGAGGAGCGAAAGCGUGGGGAGCGAUCCGG
rnacentral:rRNA from 1 species